AUGGAUUUCAGCAGAAUGCAAACGAUGAGAGCCUCAAGCAGCUCAAUCAACUCCUGGAUCCUUUGAUUCCUCGUCCUUUCGUAAGAUGGCAUGAACACAAACGUCUGGAUCAAAACUGCACUAUUCUAAUCCAACUUAUCUCGGAAGUAAUAGGAAACAGCAGUCCCAGAAAUGGUAUUUCUACUUGCAGAAUACAGCAUAAACCCUCAC
rnacentral:lncRNA from 1 species